rnacentral:lncRNA from 1 species
GUGCUCGUGAUUGCUAGUGACAAAGGGCCGUCAAGUCUGCUGUAGAAAAAGGGGUGGGGGCUGCAAUGCUGAAAACCUGUCUGUAGAAAGUCCGCAGGGCCCUUUCACAUGCCCCCGCCCCGAACAAAUCACACAGAAAAGCAAGGACAGCAAACACCACCGGCCUUCGGGCUUUCUUGCCAGGACUUACAGUCCACUGUGUUCCUUCUGUCUGCAGCUUUUCCUAGAUGACUCCAAAAUGAAGAACUUUAUCACCUGCUUCAAAGACCUGCAAUUCCUGGUCACUUUCUUCUCCCGUCUGAGACCCAACCACAGCGGGCGCUACGAGGCUUCCUUCCCUUUCCUCUCGCUUUGUGGCAGAGAGCGUAACUUCCUGCGC